UCAGUUGGUUAAGUACUUG
rnacentral:piRNA from 1 species